GGUGGUCAGGUAGAGAAUACCAAGGCGCUUGAGAGAACUCGGGUGAAGGAACUAGGCAAAAUGGUGCCGUAACUUCGGGAGAAGGCACGCUGAUAUGUAGGUGAAGUCCCUUGCGGAUGGAGCUGAAAUCAGUCGAAGAUACCAGCUGGCUGCAACUGUUUAUUAAAAACACAGCACUGUGCAAACACGAAAGUGGACGUAUACGGUGUGACGCCUGCCCGGU
rnacentral:rRNA from 1 species